UUAAGUUAUUAAGGGCGCACGGUGGAUGCCUUGGCACUAGAAGCCGAUGAAGGACGUUACUAACGACGAUAUGCUUUGGGGAGCUGUAAGUAAGCUUUGAUCCAGAGAUUUCCGAAUGGGGAAACCCAGCAUGAGUUAUGUCAUGUUAUCGAUAUGUGAAUACAUAGCAUAUCAGAAGGCACACCCGGAGAACUGAAACAUCUUAGUACCCGGAGGAAGAGAAAGAAAAUUCGAUUCCCUUAGUAGCGGCGAGCGAAACGGGAAGAGCCCAAACCAACAAGCUUGCUUGUUGGGGUUGUAGGACACUCUAUACGGAGUUACAAAGGACGACAUUAGACGAAUCAUCUGGAAAGAUGAAUCAAAGAAGGUAAUAAUCCUGUAGUCGAAAAUGUUGUCUCUCUUGAGUGGAUCCUGAGUACGACGGAGCACGUGAAAUUCCGUCGGAAUCUGGGAGGACCAUCUCCUAAGGCUAAAUACUCUCUAGUGACCGAUAGUGAACCAGUACCGUGAGGGAAAGGUGAAAAGCACCCCGGAAGGGGAGUGAAAUAGAACCUGAAACCGUGUGCUUACAAGUAGUCAGAGCCCGUUAAUGGGUGAUGGCGUGCCUUUUGUAGAAUGAACCGGCGAGUUACGAUUUGAUGCAAGGUUAAGCAGUAAAUGUGGAGCCGUAGCGAAAGCGAGUCUGAAUAGGGCGUUUAGUAUUUGGUCGUAGACCCGAAACCAGGUGAUCUACCCUUGGUCAGGUUGAAGUUCAGGUAACACUGAAUGGAGGACCGAACCGACUUACGUUGAAAAGUGAGCGGAUGAACUGAGGGUAGCGGAGAAAUUCCAAUCGAACCUGGAGAUAGCUGGUUCUCUCCGAAAUAGCUUUAGGGCUAGCCUCAAGUGAUGAUUAUUGGAGGUAGAGCACUGUUUGGACGAGGGGCCCCUCUCGGGUUACCGAAUUCAGACAAACUCCGAAUGCCAAUUAAUUUAACUUGGGAGUCAGAACAUGGGUGAUAAGGUCCGUGUUCGAAAGGGAAACAGCCCAGACCACCAGCUAAGGUCCCAAAAUAUAUGUUAAGUGGAAAAGGAUGUGGCGUUGCCCAGACAACUAGGAUGUUGGCUUAGAAGCAGCCAUCAUUUAAAGAGUGCGUAAUAGCUCACUAGUCGAGUGACACUGCGCCGAAAAUGUACCGGGGCUAAACAUAUUACCGAAGCUGUGGAUUGUCCUUUGGACAAUGGUAGGAGAGCGUUCUAAGGGCGUUGAAGCAUGAUCGUAAGGACAUGUGGAGCGCUUAGAAGUGAGAAUGCCGGUGUGAGUAGCGAAAGACGGGUGAGAAUCCCGUCCACCGAUUGACUAAGGUUUCCAGAGGAAGGCUCGUCCGCUCUGGGUUAGUCGGGUCCUAAGCUGAGGCCGACAGGCGUAGGCGAUGGAUAACAGGUUGAUAUUCCUGUACCACCUAUAAUCGUUUUAAUCGAUGGGGGGACGCAGUAGGAUAGGCGAAGCGUGCGAUUGGAUUGCACGUCUAAGCAGUAAGGCUGAGUAUUAGGCAAAUCCGGUACUCGUUAAGGCUGAGCUGUGAUGGGGAGAAGACAUUGUGUCUUCGAGUCGUUGAUUUCACACUGCCGAGAAAAGCCUCUAGAUAGAAAAUAGGUGCCCGUACCGCAAACCGACACAGGUAGUCAAGAUGAGAAUUCUAAGGUGAGCGAGCGAACUCUCGUUAAGGAACUCGGCAAAAUGACCCCGUAACUUCGGGAGAAGGGGUGCUCUUUAGGGUUAACGCCCAGAAGAGCCGCAGUGAAUAGGCCCAAGCGACUGUUUAUCAAAAACACAGGUCUCUGCUAAACCGUAAGGUGAUGUAUAGGGGCUGACGCCUGCCCGGUGCUGGAAGGUUAAGAGGAGUGGUUAGCUUCUGCGAAGCUACGAAUCGAAGCCCCAGUAAACGGCGGCCGUAACUAUAACGGUCCUAAGGUAGCGAAAUUCCUUGUCGGGUAAGUUCCGACCCGCACGAAAGGCGUAACGAUUUGGGCACUGUCUCAACGAGAGACUCGGUGAAAUCAUAGUACCUGUGAAGAUGCAGGUUACCCGCGACAGGACGGAAAGACCCCGUGGAGCUUUACUGUAGCCUGAUAUUGAAAUUCGGCACAGCUUGUACAGGAUAGGUAGGAGCCUUUGAAACGUGAGCGCUAGCUUACGUGGAGGCGCUGGUGGGAUACUACCCUAGCUGUGUUGGCUUUCUAACCCGCACCACUUAUCGUGGUGGGAGACAGUGUCAGGCGGGCAGUUUGACUGGGGCGGUCGCCUCCUAAAAGGUAACGGAGGCGCUCAAAGGUUCCCUCAGAAUGGUUGGAAAUCAUUCAUAGAGUGUAAAGGCAUAAGGGAGCUUGACUGCGAGACCUACAAGUCGAGCAGGGUCGAAAGACGGACUUAGUGAUCCGGUGGUUCCGC
rnacentral:rRNA from 1 species